rnacentral:rRNA from 1 species
GAUGAACGCUGGCGGCGUGCCUAAUACAUGCAAGUCGAGCGAACGGACGAGAAGCUUGCUUCUCUGAUGUUAGCGGCGGACGGGUGAGUAACACGUGGAUAACCUACCUAUAAGACUGGGAUAACUUCGGGAAACCGGAGCUAAUACCGGAUAAUAUUUUGAACCGCAUGGUUCAAAAGUGAAAGACGGUCUUGCUGUCACUUAUAGAUGGAUCCGCGCUGCAUUAGCUAGUUGGUAAGGUAACGGCUUACCAAGGCAACGAUGCAUAGCCGACCUGAGAGGGUGAUCGGCCACACUGGAACUGAGACACGGUCCAGACUCCUACGGGAGGCAGCAGUAGGGAAUCUUGCGCAAUGGGCGAAAGCCUGACGGAGCAACGCCGCGUGAGUGAUGAAGGUCUUCGGAUCGUAAAACUCUGUUAUUAGGGAAGAACAUAUGUGUAAGUAACUGUGCACAUCGUGACGGUACCUAAUCAGAAAGCCACGGCUAACUACGUG